UACGUAGGGUGCGAGCGUUAAUCGGAAUUACUGGGCGUAAAGCGUGCGCAGGCGGUUCGUUGUGUCUGAUGUGAAAGCCCCGGGCUCAACCUGGGAAUGGCAUUGGAAACUGGCGAGCUAGAGUGUGGCAGAGGGGGGUGGAAUUCCGCGUGUAGCAGUGAAAUGCGUAGAUAUCGGGAGGAACACCGGUGGCGAAGGCGGCGACCUGGGUAGAUACUGACGCUGAGGCGCGAAAGCGUGGGGAGCAAACAGG
rnacentral:rRNA from 1 species